rnacentral:rRNA from 1 species
AUUGAACGCUGGCGGCAGGCCUAACACAUGCAAGUCGAACGAGUGGCGGACGGGUGAGUAAUGUCUGGGAAACUGCCCGAUGGAGGGGGAUAACUACUGGAAACGGUAGCUAAUACCGCAUACCAUCGGAUGUGCCCAUAUGGGAUGAGCUAGUGGGUGGGGUAACGGCUCACCUAGGCAACGAUCCGUAGCUGGUUUGAGAGGAUGACCAGCCACACUGGAACUGAGACACGGUCCAGCCUCCUACGGGAGGCAGCAGUGGGGAAUAUUGGACAAUGGGCGCAAGCCUGAUGCAGCCAUGCCGCGUGUAUGAAGAAGGCCGUCGGGUUGUAAAGUACUUUCGGCGGGGAGGCGUUACCCGCAGAAGAAGCACCGGCUAACUCCGUGCCAGCAGCCGCGGUAAUUC